rnacentral:rRNA from 1 species
UACGUAGGUGGCAAGCGUUGUCCGGAUUUACUGGGCGUAAAGAGCGCGCAGGCGGUCGAAUAAGUCGAAUGUGAAAGCCCCCGGCUCAACUGGGGAGGGUCAUUCGAUACUGUUCGACUUGAAGGCAGGAGAGGGAAGCAGAAUUCCCGGUGUAGUGGUGAAAUGCGUAGAUAUCGGGAGGAAUACCAGUGGCGAAGGCGGCUUCCUGGCCUGUUCUUGACGCUGAGGCGCGAAGGCUAGGGGAGCGAACGGG